UCAUCUUUGCACACAGCCUGCAUCUCUGGAUUAACAUACAACAUUGAAUCUGAUGGCUAGAGGCCUGCCCCAUCAGCCUGGAUGGAAGCCAAACUCUGUUAUAACUCUGAGGACCAACUUCACUGGCCAAGGUGACGAAGGCUGGCUCCAGAUUCGUUCAGCAAGGGUCACCACUUUAUAGCAGAUGAUACACUGAAAUUUCUGCCAGCAGGCUAUUUGCUUUGUGCUGUUUUCUAGUAAUGCUGACAGAUUUGAAUAUAUCUAUCCCAUAAGCUUUAUUUCCCUUGAUCUAACACCCUCUUUUGUAAUAUGUGACUUUGAAAGAGUUUUUUUAUCUGUGUGAAGCUACCACAUAUGAGAGGGAACCAGCCUCUAAAAACACCCUGGACUUAUCUCCUGGAGGGCAGGCCCCUUGUAGUAUAGGCUUCCCCAGCUAGGUAGGUGUUCUAGGAAGCCAUCUGUAUCAGUGUACCAGCUGGCAUUGUUGUGAGAGGCUGUGUUCAGCUACAGUGAAUUCUUUUGAAGAUUCAACAUGUUUGCUUAUUUCAUGAUGGGUGAUUUACAAGCACACCUGCCCACACUGCACUGAGUGUUCAGCAGUUUUCAACCAAAAACAGCAUGACCCUUGUGCCCCAUCCUCCCUAUUUACUCAAUCUCAUCCCAAGCAACUUAUUUUUUGUCUCCCCAGAUGAA